AUUAUUGUAUAAGAAGAUGGGUGGCAGCUUCAGGGACUAGUAAUGCCUUAUCAGCGUUUUGUUUUGCUUCAUUUGAUGUUGUUUUAGGAUGAGCAAUCAUUGAUUAGAACUAUACAUAAAGAAGAAGACACCAAUACAGAUGAAGAAAUUGAACAUUCCAGAGAGAGAGGAGCAUGAUCCUAAAGGAAAGUCUCACCCUGUUGCCCAGGUUGGAGUGCAGCUGCUGGAUCUCGGCUCACUGCAACCUCGCCUCCCAGGUUCAAGCAAUUCUCCUGCCUCAGCCUCCCGAGUAGCUGGGACUACAGGUGCCCAUCACCAUGCCCGGCUAAUUUUUUGAAGUAUAAUUUUCAAAAAAGCUGGAAAAAAAGAUGACUGAAAUCAUUCAGAGUAUGCUGUCUGACCACAGUGGAAUAAAACUCAAAAUAAAUUAAAAAUAGACUAUAAAAUCCCCAAAUAAUUACAAAUUAAGCAAUAUGCCUUUAUAUAAACUGUAAGCCAAAAACAUUCUGGUAGAAAUCAGAAUAUACAUUUAAGUAAAUGAUGAUGGAAAUGCUUCUAUUACAACUUAUGGAUGCAAUUAAAUUAAUGCUUAGAGAAAAAUCUAUAGCCCUACCUAAAUGCAUGUAUUUGAAAAUAAGAAAGCCUAAAAGUCAAUGAUCAAAAAUCAUUCUCAAAAAGUUAUAGUAAAUGAAAAUGAAAGGCAGUGGAACGAAAAAGUGAGAUGUGACAGCAUAAAUUAAUCAAAUAGAAAAGAAACAAUAGAAGUUUUUUUAAAGCUGCAUUUUUGUAAGGAAUAAUAUAAUUGAUAAACUCUUCGCAAGACUGACCAUGAAAAAAAUUAGAGAAGCUCUAAUUAUCAGCAUCAGAAAUGCAAAAACAUAUAAAUACACAUUCUAAUAUUUUUUAAAGUGUUGGAACAAUUUGAUAUUUGUUUGUAAAAUGAUUAAUCUUGGCCUCUAUUUCAUACCAUACACAAAAAAUUAAUUUGAGAUGAAUAGAUUUAAAUAUGAAAUCAAAAACAAUAAGUCCUCUUGAAGAAUAUAUAGGAAAGUAUCCUAUCCAUAGGUCAAGUACCCAUGACCUUGGAUUAGGCUGAGGUAUAUUAAACAGGACGCAGACUUUACUCCCUGGAUCUAAGCUAGUGCCUGAAACGUAAUAGAUAUUUAAUAAAUGCUUAUUGUGUCCCUGCUACCCCAAGACACCUAUCACAUGGCCCUCUUUCCUAAAUGCCAUGCUUUCAACUUUUCUUUUCUUUCCUUUUCUUUCUUUUCUUUUUUUUUCUUUUUUUCUUUUUUUUUUUUUUUUUGAGACAGAGUCUCGCUCUGUUGCCCAGGUUGGAGUGCAGCUGCUGGAUCUCGGCUCACUGCAACUUCGCCUCCCAGGUUCAAGCAAUUCUCCUGCCUCAGCCUCCCGAGUAGCUGGGACUACAGGUGCCCAUCACCAUGCCCAGCUAAUUUUUUUUUGUAUUUUAGUAGAGACGGGAUUUCACCGUGUUGCUCAGGCUGCUCUCUAACUCCUGAGCUCAGGCAAUGCGCCCGCCUAGGCCUCCCAAAGUGCUAGGAUUACAGGCGUGAGUCAUCGUGCCCCGCCCAACUUUUCUUUUAUAUAUAUAUAUUUUUUUUAUUAUACUUUACGUUCUAGGGUACAUGUGCACAACGUGCAGGUUUGUUACGUAUGUAUACAUGUGCCAUUAAUGUCUAUGUGGAAGCAUUGUGCUAUGCACUUUAUAGGAUUGUUGGGUUUAAUCCUCUCAAUGACUCUGUGAGGUAGGUUCUAUCAUUAGGCCGCUUUUACAGAUGAGUGAGUUUAUGCUCAGAAAACUUACGAAGUAUUCUUGAAAAUAAACAAAACUCAACUUGAAUGUGAUUGAAUAUGCUUCUACCUCUAAGUAUAAAUGUAUAGAAAAUACAGAAAACAGAGAUGCAUGUCAAACUGCAUUAUGAUGGGAUCAGCAAAACCCAGAUUCUGCGAAACUCUAAAGAACAGACAAAUCACAGCCUGGGCAACAUACUGAGACUGUUUCUCUACAAAAAAAAAAUUAAAAAUUAGCUGGGUGUAAUGACACGUGCCUGUAGUCUAAGCUACUCGGAAGGCUGAGGAGGGAGGACUGCUUGAGCCCAGAAGUUCAAGGCUGCAAUGAGCUAUGAUUGUGCCACUGCACUCCAGCCUGGGUGACAGAGUGAUAUCCAAAAAAUAAAAAAAAUUAAAAAUAAAAAUAAAAAUAAAAAAGACAAACCAGUUCUUUUAACAGAUGUAUUUUCAGAGAAAAUAAAAUUAAAAGCAGAACCCAGAGACUAAAAGAGGCUUAAGAAAAUAUAUCAAUCAUAAUAUAUGGAUCUUAUUUUGAUCAUGAUCAAAGAAACGAAUGAUGUUCAUGAUAGAAUUUAGCAACCAUUUGC
rnacentral:lncRNA from 10 species